rnacentral:rRNA from 1 species
UACGAAGGGGGCUAGCGUUGCUCGGAAUCACUGGGCGUAAAGCGCACGUAGGCGGAUUGUUAAGUCAGGGGUGAAAUCCUGGAGCUCAACUCCAGAACUGCCUUUGAUACUGGCGAUCUCGAGUCCGGGAGAGGUGAGUGGAACUGCGAGUGUAGAGGUGAAAUUCGUAGAUAUUCGCAAGAACACCAGUGGCGAAGGCGGCUCACUGGCCCGGUACUGACGCUGAGGUGCGAAAGCUAGGGGAGCAAAGCGGGAU